rnacentral:rRNA from 1 species
GAAACCCGCACACCGAUAGACUAAGGUUUCCUGAACAACGCUAAUCGGUUCAGGGUUAGUCGGGUCCUAAGGGGUAGCCGAAUGGCGAACCCGAUGGCAAACAGGUUAAUAUUCCUGUACUAGUUAUAACUGCGAUGGAGUGACGAGGGAGUGACAAGUCUGCGUGUAGACGAAAUGACACGUUAAAUUCUUAAGGUAUAAGAUUUGGAGUUAAAUGCCCAUAUCUUGCUGACGGGAGAUAGUACUGUGAAACUUCUAGUGGAACAGAUAAUGACUGUAAUGACCUCCAAGAAAACCUUCUAAGCUUAGGUUAUAAGUAUCCGUACCGCAAACCGACACAGGUAGUCAAGGAGAGAAUCCUAAGGUGCUCGAGUGAUUCAUGGCUAAGGAACUAGGCAAAAUGGUCUCGUAACUUCGGGAGAAGAGACGCCAACAGUAAUGUUGGCCGCAGUGAAUAGGCCCAGGCGACUGUUUAUCAAAAACACAUGGCUUUGCAAAAACGAAAGUUGACGUAUAAGGCCUGACACCUGCCCGGUGCUGGAAGGUUAAGAGGAGAUGUUAGAUUCGUCGAAGCAUUGAAUUGAAGCCCCAGUAAACGGCGGCCGUAACUAUAACGGUCCUAAGGUAGCGAAAUUCCUUGUCGGGU